rnacentral:rRNA from 1 species
ACCAGACUCCUACGGGAGGCAGCAGUGGGGAAUAUUGCACAAUGGGGGGAACCCUGAUGCAGCGACGCCGCGUGAGUGAAGAAGUAUUUCGGUAUGUAAAGCUCUUUCAGCAGGGAAGAAGAAAGACGGUACCUGACCAAGAAGCCCCGGCUAACUACGUGCCAGCAGCCGCGGUAAUACGUAGGGGGCAAGCGUUAUCCGGAUUUACUGGGUGUAAAGGGAGCGUAGACGGCAGGGCAAGUCUGGAGUGAAAGGCGGGGGCCCAACCCCUGGACUGCUCUGGAAACUGUCCGGCUGGAGUGCAGGAGAGGUAAGUGGAAUUCCUAGUGUAGCGGUGAAAUGCGUAGAUAUUAGGAGGAACACCAGUGGCGAAGGCGGCUUACUGGACUGGGACUGACGUUGAGGCUCGAAAGCGUGGGGAGCAAACAGGAUUAGAUACCCUAGUACU